rnacentral:rRNA from 1 species
GACGAACGCUGGCGGCGUGCCUAAUACAUGCAAGUAGAACGCACAGUUUAUACCGUAGCUUGCUACACCAUAGACUGUGAGUUGCGAACGGGUGAGUAACGCGUAGGUAACCUGCCUGGUAGCGGGGGAUAACUAUUGGAAACGAUAGCUAAUACCGCAUAAUAUUAAUUAUUGCAUGAUAAUUAAUUGAAAGGUGCAAUUGCACCACUACCAGAUGGACCUGCGAUGUAUUAGCUAGUAGGUGAGGUAACGGCUCACCUAGGCGACGAUACAUAGCCGACCUGGGAGGGUGAUCGGCCACAACGGGACUGGGGCACGGCCCAGACUCCUACGGGAGGCAGCAGUAGGGGAUCCUCGGCAAUGGACGGAAGUCUGACCGAGCAACGCCGCGUGAGUGAAGAAGGUUUUCGGAUCGUAAAGCUCUGUUGUAAGAGAAGAACGGGUGUGAGAGUGGAAAGUGCACACUGUGACGGUAUCUUACCAGAAAGGGACGGCUAACUACGUG